GUAGGUGGCAAGCGUUGUCCGGGAUUAUUGGGCGUAAAGCGCGCGCAGGCGGUUCUUUAAGUCUGAUGUGAAAGCCCACGGCUCAACCGUGGAGGGUCAUUGGAAACUGGAGAACUUGAGUACAGAAGAGGAAAGCGGAAUUCCACGUGUAGCGGUGAAAUGCGUAGAGAUGUGGAGGAACACCAGUGGCGAAGGCGGCUUUCUGGUCUGUAACUGACGCUGAGGCGCGAAAGCGUGGGGAGCAAACAGGAUUAGAUACCCUGGUAGUCCACGCCGUAAACGAUGAGUGCUAAGUGUUAGGGGGUUUUCCGCCCCCCUUAGUGCUGCAGCUAACGCAUUAAGCACUCCGCCUGGGAGUACGGCCGCAAGGCUG
rnacentral:rRNA from 1 species